UGUGGUGUGGCUCAGUGGUAGAGUGCUGGCCUAGCACUCAUGAGGCCCUGGGUUCCAGUCCCAGGACCACAC
rnacentral:tRNA from 1 species